AGGAAUAUUGGUCAAUGGGCGAGAGCCUGAACCAGCCAAGUAGCGUGAAGGAUGACUGCCCUAUGGGUUGUAAACUUCUUUUAUAAAGGAAUAAAGUCGGGUAUGGAUACCCGUUUGCAUGUACUUUAUGAAUAAGGAUCGGCUAACUCCGUGCCAGCAGCCGCGGUAAUACGGAGGAUCCGAGCGUUAUCCGGAUUUAUUGGGUUUAAAGGGAGCGUAGAUGGAUGUUUAAGUCAGUUGUGAAAGUUUGCGGCUCAACCGUAAAAUUGCAGUUGAUACUGGAUAUCUUGAGUGCAGUUGAGGCAGGCGGAAUUCGUGGUGUAGCGGUGAAUGCUUAGAUAUCACGAAGAACUCCGAUUGCGAAGGCAGCCUGCUAAGCUGCAACUGACAUUGAGGCUCGAAAGUGUGGGUAUCAAACAGGAUUAGAUACCCUGGUAGUCCACACGGUAAACGAUGAAUACUCGCUGUUUGCGAUAUACUGCAAGCGGCCAAGCGAAAGCGUUAAGUAUUCCACCUGGGGAGUACGCCGGCAACGGUGAAACUCAAAGGAAUUGACGGGGGCCCGCACAAGCGGAGGAACAUGUGGUUUAAUUCGAUGAUACGCGAGGAACCUUACCCGGGCUUAAAUUGCAGAUGAAUUACGGUGAAAGCCGUAAGCCGCAAGGCAUCUGUGAAGGUGCUGCAUGGUUGUCGUCAGCUCGUGCCGUGAGGUGUCGGCUUAAGUGCCAUAACGAGCGCAACCCUUGCCGAUAGUUACUAACAGGUUAUGCUGAGGACUCUGUCGGGACUGCCAUCGUAAGAUGUGAGGAAGGUGGGGAUGACGUCAAAUCAGCACGGCCCUUACGUCCGGGGCUACACACGUGUUACAAUGGGGGGUACAGAGGGCUGCUACCACGCAAGUGGAUGCCAAUCCCAAAAACCUCUCUCAGUUCGGAUUGAAGUCUGCAACCCGACUUCAUGAAGCUGGAUUCGCUAGUAAUCGCGCAUCAGCCACGGCGCGGUGAAUACGUUCCCG
rnacentral:rRNA from 1 species